rnacentral:rRNA from 1 species
GUGACCUGCGGAGGAUCAUUACCGAGUUUCAUGCCCUUACGGGUAGAUCUCCCACCCUUUGUAUACUAUACCUUUGUUGCUUUGGCGGGCCGCCUAGCUACUGGCUUCGGCUGGUAAGUGCCCGCCAGAGGACCCAAAACCCUGAAUUAUUAGUGUCGUCUGAGUAAAAAAGUUAAUAUUUAAAACUUUCAACAACGGAUCUCUUGGCUCUGGCAUCGAUGAAGAACGCAGCGAAAUGCGAUAAGUAAUGUGAAUUGCAGAAUUCAGUGAAUCAUCGAAUCUUUGAACGCACAUUGCGCCCCUUGGUAUUCCGAGGGGCAUGCCUAUUCGAGCGUCAUUAUCACCCCUCAAGCCUAGCUUGGUGUUGGGGCUUGCUGUAAAGGCAGCCUCUAAAAUCAGUGGCAGUGCUGUCAGGCUCUAAGCGUAGUAAAUUCAUCGCUAUAGGGUCCUGGUGGAUACUCGUCAAAACCCCCCAUUUUUAAUGAUUGACCUCGGAUUAGGUAGGGAUACCCGCUGAACUUAAGCAUAUCAAUAAGCGGAGGAAAAGAAACCAACAGGGAUUGCCUCAGUAACGGCGAGUGAAGCGGCAAAAGCUCAAAUUUGAAAUCUGGCUCUUUUAGGGUCCGAGUUGUAU